UACGUAGGUGGCGAGCGUUGUCCGGAUUUACUGGGCGUAAAGAGCGCGCAGGCGGUCGUGCAAGUCGCGUGUGAAAGCCCCCGGCUCAACUGGGGAGGGUCACUCGAUACUGAUCGACUCGAAGGCAGGAGAGGGUAGUGGAAUUCCCGGUGUAGUGGUGAAAUGCGUAGAUAUCGGGAGGAACACCAGUGGCGAAGGCGACUUCCUGGCCUGUUCUUGACGCUGAGGCGCGAAAGCUAGGGGAGCAAACGGG
rnacentral:rRNA from 1 species